rnacentral:rRNA from 1 species
UACGUAGGUGACCAGCGUUGUCCGGAUUUACUGGGCGUAAAGAGCGCGCAGGCGGUCGUUCAAGUCGAGUGUGAAAGCCCCCGGCUCAACUGGGGAGGGUCAUUCGAUACUGAUCGACUGGAAGGCAGGAGAGGGAAGCGGAAUUCCCCGGGUGUGAGUGGUGAAAUGCGUAGAUAUCGGGAGGAACACCAGUGGCGAAGGCGGCUUCCUGGCCUGUCU